rnacentral:rRNA from 1 species
CAGUCGCCGCGGGAACACGAAGGGUGCAAGCGUUAAUCGGAAUUACUGGGCGUAAAGCGUGCGUAGGCGGUGAGUUAAGUCUGCUGUGAAAUCCCCGGGCUCAACCUGGGAAUGGCAGUGGAUACUGGCUCGCUAGAGUGUGUCAGAGGAUGGUGGAAUUCCCGGUGUAGCGGUGAAAUGCGUAGAGAUCGGGAGGAACAUCAGUGGCGAAGGCGGCCAUCUGGGACAACACUGACGCUGAAGCACGAAAGCGUGGGGAGCAAACAGGAUUAGAUACCCCCGUAGUCCCUGUCUCUUAUAC